AUACAUGACACUUUUAAGGAUAACAACUUCUUUUUAUUCAUUACACGACGCUUCAGAGCUAGUUCUUGCUCCUUCAUCAGGUUAUGCCUCAUUCACAUGAUGAAGG